CUUGUGUAUCUUGUAUUGUGAUAGGUAUAAUCUUUCAUCUAUCGUACGCUGUGUCUUGUGAAUGUGAAAAUCAGAUAUAUUACUUACGCAUUGUUCAUCGGCGUCGUAGAAAUCAAGAUACCUACAGCAAGUCCCCAUCUAGAUGAAAUAACCGACAACAAUGACAUCAUAACAAAUCACAUUUCGUAUGAUAUACUCAAGAGUGCUAUGAUGUCUAAUAGGGCGAGCCCUCAAAAGUUCCUGACACCAAGCCAGUGCUUUUCUUGGAUUUUCUUAAUACAUAAUUAUAAAUACAUAUACAUUGUACUAUGGCCUUCUCAUGACACAUUAUCAUAAAUAAAUCGCUACCAUGCCAUUUGA